UACGUAGGGUGCAAGCGUUAAUCGGAAUUACUGGGCGUAAAGCGUGCGCAGGCGGUUUUGUAAGUUUGUCGUGAAAGCCCCGGGCUCAACCUGGGAAUUGCGAUGAAGACUGCAAGGCUUGAAUCUGGCAGAGGGGGGGUAGAAUUCCACGUGUAGCAGUGAAAUGCGUAGAGAUGUGGAGGAAUACCGAUGGCGAAGGCAGCCCCCCUGGGGAUAACACUGACGCUCAUGCACGAAAGCGUGGGGGAGCAAACAGG
rnacentral:rRNA from 1 species